rnacentral:tRNA from 2 species
GCUCCGAUAGCUCAGUUGGUAGAGCAGCUGAUUUGUAAUCAGCAGGUCGUCCGUUCAAGUCGGACUCGGAGCUCCA